UACGUAGGGGGCGAGCGUUGUCCGGAUUUAUUGGGCGUAAAGAGCUCGUAGGCGGCUUGGCAAGUCGGGUGUGAAAUCUCCAGGCUCAACCUGGAGUCGCCAUUCGAUACUGCCAUAGCUAGAGUCCGGUAGGGGAGCGCGGAAUUCCUGGUGUAGCGGUGAAAUGCGCAGAUAUCAGGAGGAACACCAGCGGCGAAGGCGGCGCUCUGGGCCGGAACUGACGCUGAGGAGCGAAAGCGUGGGGAGCGAACAGGAUUAGAUACCCCGGUAGUCC
rnacentral:rRNA from 1 species